GGCCUAACACAUGCAAGUCGAGCGCUACCUUCGGGUGGAGCGGCGGACGGGUUAGUAACGCGUGGGAACAUACCCUUUUCUACGGAAUAGCCUCGGGAAACUGAGAGUAAUACCGUAUAAGCCCUUCGGGGGAAAGAUUUAUCGGGAAAGGAUUGGCCCGCGUUAGAUUAGAUAGUUGGUGGGGUAAUGGCCUACCAAGUCUACGAUCUAUAGCUGGUUUUAGAGGAUGAUCAGCAACACUGGGACUGAGACACGGCCCAGACUCCUACGGGAGGCAGCAGUGGGGAAUCUUAGACAAUGGGCGAAAGCCUGAUCUAGCCAUGCCGCGUGAGUGAUGAAGGUCUUAGGAUCGUAAAGCUCUUUCGCUAGGGAUGAUAAUGACAGUACCUAGUAAAGAAGCCCCGGCUAACUCCGUGCCAGCAGCCGCGGUAAUACGGAGGGGGCUAGCGUUGUUCGGAAUUACUGGGCGUAAAGCGUACGUAGGCGGAUCAGAAAGUAUGGGGUGAAAUCCCAGGGCUUAACCCUGGAACUGCCUCAUAAACUCCUGGUCUUGAGUUCGAGAGAGGUGAGUGGAAUUGCGAG
rnacentral:rRNA from 1 species